rnacentral:tRNA from 1 species
CAGGGAGACAACAAAAUGUUUAAUAUUAUUAUUUUGUCACCUUAGGUCGAUCGGUAUCUCACGUUUUUAAUUUAUUAAGAAUUUCAUUUCCUAAGUUUUUCUAGGUCACACCCAUUAUUUUUCCUGGGCCAUUAGCUCAGGUGGUUAGAGCGCACCCCUGAUAAGGGUGAGGUCCCUGGUUCAAGUCCAGGAUGGCCCAUAUCUCUAUGUUGGGGGUAUAGCUCAGUUGGUAGAGCGCCUGCUUUGCAAGCAGGAUGUCAGCGGUUCGAGUCCGCUUACCUCCACUGAUUACCACCUCUUCCAUAACCGGUAGAAAGGAAAUUUUUUGAGUUGUGAUCAAAUUCUGAAAGAAUCUAGCUUCCUAAUACAAUCAUUAAGAUGCUGGACUCAUUGAAUUAAUUUCAUUGUUUUCAGAGAACCUUGACAACUGCAUAGAUUAUUUUUAAAAGACAAUAAGCAUCUUUAAUGAUGCAGAUUUAUUAUUUGUGCGAAUGCAUUAAUAACAAUUCUAUUAAGCUGAUGCUUCAAUUUUUGAAGUUAUU